CUAUGAUUGAUAAUUUUGCUAAAUAUAAUUGGCAGUUAUGUAUAGUUUGAAAUGUUGAAUAGAUAAAGAAUGUUUAUUCUGAAAUGAAAAUAGAUAUGAUUCUGAAAUAAGUGAAUCAUCGAUAGAAAAGAUAUGAAGUAUUGAGACUUAAUCUUUUAAUACGUUUACUCAGAUUAUACAAAUCAUAUAAUAAAUAUGAUUUUAGUAUAAAGAAGAUUUGUAAAGGU
rnacentral:lncRNA from 1 species